CCUACGGGCCGCACCAGUGGGGAAUACUGCACAAUGGGCGCAAGCCUGAUGCAGCCAUGCCGCGUGUAUGAAGAAGGCCUUCGGGUUGUAAAGUACUUUCAGCGGGGAGGAAGGUGUUGCGGUUAAUAACCACAGCAAUUGACGUUACCCGCAGAAGAAGCACCGGCUAACUCCGUGCCAGCAGCCGCGGUAAUACGGAGGGUGCAAGCGUUAAUCGGAAUUACUGGGCGUAAAGCGCACGCAGGCGGUCUGUCAAGUCGGAUGUGAAAUCCCCGGGCUCAACCUGGGAACUGCAUCCGAGACUGGCAGGCUAGAGUCUUGUAGAGGGGGGUAGAAUUCCAGGUGUAGCGGUGAAAUGCGUAGAGAUCUGGAGGAAUACCGGUGGCGAAGGCGGCCCCCUGGACAAAGACUGACGCUCAGGUGCGAAAGCGUGGGGAGCAAACAGGAUUAGAUACCCGCGUAGUC
rnacentral:rRNA from 1 species